rnacentral:rRNA from 1 species
UACGUAGGGUGCGAGCGUUGCCCGGAUUUAUUGGGCGUAAAGGGCGCGUAGGCGGCUCUGCACGUCCGUUGUGAAAUCGCCCGGCUCAACUGGGCGGGGUCAGCGGAUACGGCAGAGCUCGAGCAAGCUAGGGGGCAAUGGAAUUCCCGGUGUAGUGGUGGAAUGCGUAGAUAUCGGGAGGAACACCAAUUGCGAAGGCAGCUCGCUGGGACGUCACUGACGCUGAGACGCGAAAGCGUGGGGAGCAAACAGG